AGCGAACGCUGGCGGAAUGCCUAACACAUGCAAGUCGCGCGGUUCGGGUUUCGGCCCGGGCAGCGGCGGACGGGUGCGCAACGCGUAGGAACGUGCCCUGGGGUGGGGGACAACGCCGGGAAACUGGCGCUAAUACCGCAUAUGGGCUGAGGCCCAAAGCCGCGAGGCGCCCUGGGAGCGGCCUGCGUCCGAUUAGCUUGUUGGGGGGGUAACGGCCCACCAAGGCGACGAUCGGUAGCUGGUCUGAGAGGAUGAUCAGCCACACUGGGACUGAGACACGGCCCAGACUCCUACGGGAGGCAGCAGUGGGGAAUAUUGGACAAUGGGCGCAAGCCUGAUCCAGCAAUUCCGCGUGGGUGAAGAA
rnacentral:rRNA from 1 species